rnacentral:lncRNA from 1 species
AUGCGCACAACACAUAAAGUGAAGCAAAGCGCAUCCGGCUGUGAUUUAAUGCUACUCCGUUGUCAUAUUUGCAGGAAAAUAGCUUCGGUGAAGUCUGCUGUCAAGUUACUGGACACGUGGUAUUUGCACAACACUUCUGAAUCCGCAGCUUCGGUGUUUUAAGGCUGUUUCGAUAUGGAGAAGAAGUGGGAAGAGAUUUACGCGUUUAUUUCUGCGGGCUCCUACCCUUCAGGAUAUGACAAGGCUCAGAGGCAAAACCUCAGAAGAUAUGCCUCAAAAUUCCAACAAAAGGGUCAGUAAUUUAUUGUUAAUACUAACAACUCAUAUAUGUGGUUAAAUUAAUUUAUAAAUAUAUAUUGUUCUACUGCAGAUGGAGAACUCUUUGUUGGAA